rnacentral:rRNA from 1 species
UGGCAAGCAUUGAAGGGCACAUGGUGGAUGCCUUGGCAUCAAGAGCCGAUGAAGGACGUUGGAGCCUGCGAUAAGCCCUGGGGAGUUGGCAACCGAGCUGUGAUCCGGGGGUGUCCGAAUGGGGAAACCCGGCUGGAGUCAUGUCCAGUCACCUGCACCUGAAUAAAAUAGGGUGUGUGGAGGGAACGUGGGGAAGUGAAACAUCUCAGUACCCAUAGGAAGAGAAAACAAAAGUGAUUCCGAGAGUAGUGGCGAGCGAAAUCGGAUGAGGCCAAACCUAUUCCGUGUGAUACCCGGCAGGGGUUGCGGGAUGGGGGUUGUGGGAGCAUUCGUGGUCAUCUGCCGGUGACUGGGACAGUAAGAAAAUCGCGUGGAAGUUGAAGUCCGUUGGAAAGCGGCGCCGUAGAGGGUGAUAGCCCCGUAGUCGUAAAACGUGAUCUGUCUGUAGUGUUUCCCAAGUAACACGCCACUCCUGAAAUGGUGUGUGAAUCUGGCGGGACCACCCGUUAAGCCUAAAUACUUCUUGAUGACCGAUAGCGGACAAGUACCGUGAGGGAAAGGUGAAAAGUACCCCUGGCGGGGAGUGAAAUAGUACCUGAAACCGUGUGCCUACAAUCCGUCAGAGCCCGGCCGUCCACCAGCCAUGGUGGGUGUGGGGGUGAUGGCGUGCCUUUUGAAGAAUGAGCCUGCGAGUUUGCGUUGUGUUGCGAGGUUAACCCGUGUGGGGAAGCCGUAGCGAAAGCGAGUCCUAAUAGGGCGUUUGAGUAGCAUGAUCAAGACCCGAAGCGGAGUGAUCUAUCCAUGGGCAGGUUGAAGCGCGGGUAAGACCGCGUGGAGGACCGAACCCACUUAGGUUGAAAACUGAGGGGAUGACCUGUGGAUAGGGGUGAAAGGCCAAUCAAACUCCGUGAUAGCUGGUUCUCCCCGAAAUGCAUUUAGGUGCAGCGUUGCGUGUUUCUUGCCGGAGGUAGAGCACUGGAUAGCCGAUGGGCCCGACCAGGUUACUGACGUUAGCCAAACUCCGAAUGCCGGUAAGUGAGAGCGCAGCAGUGAGACUGCGGGGGAUAAGCUCCGUAGUCGAGAGGGAAACAGCCCAGACCAUCAGCUAAGGCCCCUAAGCGGUGACUAAGUGGAAAAGGAUGUGGAGUCGCAGUGACAACCAGGAGGUUGGCUUGGAAGCAGCCACCCUUGAAAGAGUGCGUAAUAGCUCACUGGUCAAGUGAUUCCGCGCCGACAAUGUAGCGGGGCUCAAGUCAUCCGCCGAAGCUAUGGCAUUCACACUCCCUUGGAUGGGAACUCGGCCACUGGGUGGUUGGGUGUGUGGGUGGGUAGGGGAGCGUCGUGUCGCGAGUGAAGCUCCGGAGUGAUCCAGGGGUGGACGCGACACGAGUGAGAAUGCAGGCAUGAGUAGCGAAUCACGGGUGAGAAACCCGUGCGCCGAAUGAUCAAGGGUUCCAGGGUCAAGCUAAUCUGCCCUGGGUAAGUCGGGACCUAAGGCGAGGCCGACAGGCGUAGUCGAUGGACAACGGGUUGAUAUUCCCGUACCGGCAAAGUAGCGCCCAUGACGAGCCCGGUGAUGCUAACCAUCUGAAGCCACAUCGACCGAUCCCUUCGGGGUGAGGAGGUGUGGUGGAGCGUGGGAUCCGAUCCGGUAGUAGUCAAGCGAUGGGGUGACGCAGGAAGGUAGUCCAGCCCGGGCGAUGGUUGUCCCGGGGUAAGCAGGUAGGGCGUGGUCCAGGCAAAUCCGGUCCGCUGACUUUGAUGUCGAGCUUGAGAUGUGAUGCCGAGCCAUUAUUGGUGAAGUGGAUGAUCCUAUGCUGUCGAGAAAAACCUCUAGCGAGCUACGCGCCGCCCGUACCCCAAACCGACUCAGGUGAUCAGGUAGAGAAUACUAAGGCGAUCGAGUGAACCAUGGUUAAGGAACUCGGCAAAAUGCCCCCGUAACUUCGGGAGAAGGGGGACCCGAACCGUCAACACCUUCGCGGUGGGUAGCGGGGAGGGUCGCAGAGACCAGGCCCAAGCGACUGUUUACUAAAAACACAGGUCCGUGCGAAGUUGUAAGACGAUGUAUACGGACUGACUCCUGCCCGGUGCUGGAAGGUUAAGAGGACCUGUUAGACCACGCAGUGGUUGAAGCGGAGAAUUUAAGCCCCAGUAAACGGCGGUGGUAACUAUAACCAUCCUAAGGUAGCGAAAUUCCUUGUCGGGUAAGUUCCGACCUGCACGAAUGGAGUAACGACUUGGGCGCUGUCUCAACCAUGGACUCGGCGAAAUUGCACUACGAGUAAAGAUGCUCGUUACGCGCGGCAGGACGGAAAGACCCCGGGACCUUUACUAUAGUUUGGUAUUGGUGUUUGGUUCGGCUUGUGUAGGAUAGGUGGGAGACUUUGAAGCAGCCACGCCAGUGGUUGUGGAGUCAUCGUUGAAAUACCACUCUGGUCGUACUAGAUGUCUAACCUAGGUCCAUGAUCUGGAUCAGGGACAGUGCCUGAUGGGUAGUUUAACUGGGGCGGUUGCCUCCUAAAAAGUAACGGAGGCGCUCAAAGGUUCCCUCAGCCUGGUUGGCAAUCAGGUGGCGAGUGUAAGUGCACAAGGGAGCUUGACUGUGAGACAGACAUGUCGAGCAGGGACGAAAGUCGGAACUAGUGAUCCGGUGUCGGCAUGUGGAAGCGACAUCGCUCAACGGAUAAAAGGUACCCCGGGGAUAACAGGCUGAUCUUCCCCAAGAGUCCAUAUCGACGGGAUGGUUUGGCACCUCGAUGUCGGCUCGUCGCAUCCUGGGGCUGGAGUAGGUCCCAAGGGUUGGGCUGUUCGCCCAUUAAAGCGGCACGCGAGCUGGGUUUAGAACGUCGUGAGACAGUUCGGUCCCUAUCCGCCGCGCGCGUUGGAAACUUGAGAAAGGCUGUCCCUAGUACGAGAGGACCGGGAUGGACGAACCUCUGGUGUGCCAGUUGUCCCGCCAGGGGCACGGCUGGUUGGCUACGUUCGGAAGUGAUAACCGCUGAAUGCAUCUAAGCGGGAAGCACGUUUCAAGAUAAGGUUUCCCACCCCCUUUGAGGGGUUAAGGCCCCCAACAGACUAUUGGGUUGAUAGGCCGGAGGUGUACAGCAGCAAUGCCCAGCCGACCGGUACUAAUAGGCCGAGGGCUUGCCUUACAA